CAAAGGUUUGGUCCUAGCCUUACCAUUAAUUUUAACUACACUUACACAUGCAAGUAUCAGCACACCCGUGAAAAUGCCCUCUACAACCAAUAAGUGAAUGAGGAGCGGAUAUCAGGCACCACUUUUGCCAAAGACAUCUUGUUAAGCCACGCCCCCAAGGGAACUCAGCAGUGAUAAACAUUGAAAAAUAAGCGAAACAAGCUUGAACCAGUGAUAGUAAUCAGAGCCGGUAAAUCUCGUGCCAGCCACCGCGGUUAUACGAGAGACUCAAGUUAAUAAAAUCGGCCCAAAGGGUGGUUAAAGACUACAACAAAUAGAACUAAAAACUAACUCUGCUGUCGUACGCAAUAGUUAUAAACAAACACAACAUCGAAAGAAAUUCUACAAAAUAAACUUGAACCCACGACAGUUAGGACACAAACUGGGAUUAGAUACCCCACUAUGCCUAACCGUAAACUUUGACCAAUCCGCCAGAGUACUACGAGCAACAGCUUAAAACUCAAAGGACUUGGCGGUGCUCUACACCCACCUAGAGGAGCCUGUUCUAUAAUCGAUAAUCCCCGAUAAACCUCACCAUCUGUUGCCAAUACAGCCUAUAUACCACCGUCCAGCCCGCCCUUUAAAGGAUAAACAGCAGGCACAAUUAUAAACAUAAAAACGUCAGGUCAAGGUGUAGCACAUAAGAUGGGAAGAAAUGGGCUACAUUUUCUAACCUAGAAAAACACGAAAGAGUUUAUGAAACAAAACUCCAAAGGAGGAUUUAGCAGUAAAAAGAAAAAAGAGCGUUCUUUUUAAGCCGGCAAUGGAGCGCGCACACACCGCCCGUCACCCUCUCCAAACAACAUAAAAAAAUACAUAAACCCUAAAAUAAAAAAGAAGAGGCAAGUCGUAACAUGGUAAGUCUACCGGAAGGUGAACUUGGAACAUC
rnacentral:ncRNA from 1 species